AUUAGAAAAUCUAGUGGGCCUUUUACAAAGACAGAUGCUUUUCUAAAGAUCCUUUAGAAAAAUUAAGGAAAACAUUUUGAAAAUUUAAAGAACUUGCACAAAAUGCAGCAAGAGUUCAGCCAGCUAAUAAAGGUUGGGGUUCUACUCACUUUGUUGGAUUGUAGCUUGCGAAUGCAAUAAGCCCUCCAAAAGCCAAAGAGAGAGAGAAGAAAAUCUGUGUAGCUGCAUCAAGCCAUACACGGGGAUUUUUCAAAGUGUUCAGCUGAAAUAAUUGAAAGAAAUGCAUGUAUUAGGCUUAAAUUAAAAUUUCUUUUUCUCUUGCAGUUCUCGUAGCUCACCUGUUCUUUCAAUUCUGGAAUUUUGAGCUGUGUUGCUAUCUAUGAAUACUAUGAAAGUGGGAAUAGGUACUAAACAGGUUUUAUAAGCAUAUGUUCAGAAGAAAAAAUGUGCUGAUGCCAGAAACAUGUGGAUGAAGAUGCAUGAUCAGUGUUAAUGAAUAGUCCCCUGUUCAUUCCCUGUAAGGAGGAAAGUGUCACUUCAGGAUAAUUUUUUGUUUUCUUGGCAUCUUCAUUUUCCAAGUAACCAAGAAUUUUGAGAAGGUGAGUGAAUCAUCAGACUUCUCUAUGUCUGAAAGUCAAUGAAAUGAAGUAUUGAUUAUUUAUUCUGAAAUUUAAGGUGGAAAGUGUGUCAGAUGACAAAAGCUGAUUAUGUAUUUUUGCAUGAAAAUAAAAACACAGCCUUGCAUAAUUAAAA